rnacentral:rRNA from 1 species
AUUGAACGCUGGCGGCAGGCUUAACACAUGCAAGUCGAGCGGGGAAGAGUAGCUUGCUACUUAACCUAGCGGCGGACGGGUGAGUAAUGCUUAGGAAUCUGCCUAUUAGUGGGGGACAACAUCUCGAAAGGGAUGCUAAUACCGCAUACGUCCUACGGGAGAAAGCAGGGGACCUUCGGGCCUCGCGCUAAUAGAUGAGCCUAAGUCGGAUUAGCUAGUUGGUGGGGUAAAGGCCUACCAAGGCGACGAUCUGUAGCGGGUCUGAGAGGAUGAUCCGCCACACUGGGACUGAGACACGGCCCAGACUCCUACGGGAGGCAGCAGUGGGGAAUAUUGGACAAUGGGGGGAACCCUGAUCCAGCCAUGCCGCGUGUGUGAAGAAGGCCUUUUGGUUGUAAAGCACUUUAAGCGAGGAGGAGGCUACCGAGAUUAAUACUCUUGGAUAGUGGACGUUACUCGCAGAAUAAGCACCGGCUAACUCUGUGCCAGCAGCCGCAGUAA